AGCUGAACCACCCUGAACACGCCCAAUCUCAUCUGAUUUCAGAAGCUAAGCAGGGUCAGGGCCUGGUUAGUACUUGGAUGGAAGAAGCCUAUCAUUUAAAAGAAAAAAAAAAAAUCAAAUUUCAGUUU
ensembl:rRNA 5S_rRNA 5S ribosomal RNA